UGUUUUGCAGUAAACAACAUACUACAAUUGGAAUCAUAUAGAUUAGAUGAGCAUAGCCUCUGGGAAAGGAUGACUCGCAAAAUCGUGAAGCGUUCCACAGUAUU